rnacentral:miRNA from 1 species
AUAUAUACACAUGCACACACACGGGGGUGUGUGUGUGUGUGUGUGUGUGUGUAUAU